ACCGAGUCUUAACUGGGCGUUAAGUUGCAGGGUAUAGACCCGAAACCCGGUGAUCUAGCCAUGGGCAGGUUGAAGGUUGGGUAACACUAACUGGAGGACCGAACCGACUAAUGUUGAAAAAUUAGCGGAUGACUUGUGGCUGGGGGUGAAAGGCCAAUCAAACCGGGAGAUAGCUGGUUCUCCCCGAAAGCUAUUUAGGUAGCGCCUCGUGAAUUCAUCUCCGGGGGUAGAGCACUGUUUCGGCAAGGGGGUCAUCCCGACUUACCAACCCGAUGCAAACUGCGAAUACCGGAGAAUGUUAUCACGGGAGACACACGGCGGGUGCUAACGUCCGUCGUGAAGAGGGAAACAACCCAGACCGCCAGCUAAGGUCCCAAAGUCAUGGUUAAGUGGGAAACGAUGUGGGAAGGCCCAGACAGCCAGGAUGUUGGCUUAGAAGCAGCCAUCAUUUAAAGAAAGCGUAAUAGCUCACUGGUCGAGUCGGCCUGCGC
rnacentral:rRNA from 1 species